UACGUAGGGUGCAAACGUUGCUCGGAGUUAUUGGGCGUAAAGCAGCUCGUAGGCGGUUUGUCGCGUCUGCUGUGAAAACUGGAGGCUCAACCUCCAGCCUGCAGUGGGUACGGGCAGACUAGAGUGCGGUAGGGGAGAUUGGAAUUCCUGGUGUAGCGGUGGAAUGCGCAGAUAUCAGGAGGAACACCGAUGGCGAAGGCAGAUCUCUGGGCCGUAACUGACGCUGAGGAGCGAAAGCAUGGGAGCGAACAGG
rnacentral:rRNA from 1 species